UAACUCUGAUUCAUCUUUCAUG
rnacentral:miRNA from 1 species